AGUUUUCGGACAACGGAUAGGAAUGCUUAGUGGCGGACGGGUGAGUAACGCGUGAGCAAUCUGCCUUUCAGAGGGGGACAACAGAGGGAAACUUCUGCUAAUACCGCAUAACGUAGCGGGGAGGCAUCUUCCUGUUACCAAAGAUUUAUCGCUGAAAGAUGAGCUCGCGUCUGAUUAGCUAGUUGGUGAGGUAACGGCCCACCAAGGCGACGAUCAGUAGCCGGACUGAGAGGUUGAACGGCCACAUUGGGACUGAGAUACGGCCCAGACUCC
rnacentral:rRNA from 1 species